rnacentral:rRNA from 2 species
GAUUUCUGGGCAUCAGUUUCUGGCCGGCCACGGUUUCGUGUGUUAGUGCUUGAAGCUUUGUCCAUCCUUCCAAUUGCUAGUCACUAUUCUUCAUUGAAUGGUGAUUAGUAUUGGAUCUUUUACUUUGAAAAAAUUAGAGUGUUUCAAGCAGGCUUUAUGCUAUGAAUACAUUAGCAUGGAAUAAUAAUUUAGGACUUCGGUUCUAUUUUGUUGGUUUCUAGGACUGAAGUAAUGAUUGAUAGGGAUAGUUGGGGGUGCUAGUAUUCAGCGGCCAGAGGUGAAAUUCUCGGAUUCGCUGAAGACUAACUUAUGCGAAAGCAUU